rnacentral:ncRNA from 1 species
AAACUGGCGAAGAAAAGGAUCAGUACGGACAGGAAGAUGUACAGAGAAGAAAUCAACGGUGAAAGAUUUCCCAUACCAUUGCCCGGAACCCGCCUUUGAGCCGCGUAUGAAAAUACGACGUACUGCCGCGUUAAGGCAAUUGAGAGAACAGCAGAUUUGCUGUUAAUAAGGGUGGUACCGCCGGAUUUCCGGUCCCUGAC